AAGGUUGACCUCGGAUCAGGUAGGACUACCCGCUGACUUAAGCA
rnacentral:rRNA from 1 species